CUACGGGUCGCUCCAGCAGUCGAGAAUCUUCGGCAAUGGACGAAAGUCUGACCGAGCGACGCCGCGUGCGGGAUGAAGGCCUUCGGGUUGUAAACCGCUGUCAGAGGGAAGGAAAUUUUGACCGAUCCUCAAAGGAAGUACGGGCUAAGUUCGUGCCAGCAGCCGCGGUAAGACGAACCGUACAAACGUUAUUCGGAAUCACUGGGCUUAAAGGGUGCGUAGGUGGUCUAUUAAGUUGGGUGUGAAAUCCCUCGGCUCAACCGAGGAACUGCGCUCAAUAUUGGUAGACUUGAGGGAGAUAGAGGUGAGCGGAACUGAUGGUGGAGCGGUGAAAUGCGUUGAUAUCAUCGGGAACACCUGUGGCGAAAGCGGCUCACUGGAUCUCUUCUGACACUGAGGCACGAAAGCUAGGGGAGCGAACGGGAUUAGAUACCCCAGUAGUC
rnacentral:rRNA from 1 species